rnacentral:tRNA from 1 species
GGGGAGAUUCCAGAGCGGUCAAAUGGGGCAGACUGUAAAUCUGUUGGCGGACGCCUUCGGAGGUUCGAAUCCUCCUCUCCCCA